AUGAACAGGCCAGUGAAGACCAUGAAGCCGAAGUCGCUCUGUGUCCCGCGACUUGGUCUCUUCGAGGACGUUAGCGGCAGAUACAGGCGGCAGGUCGACACCGGCGCACCGGAGCAGAGCCUCGAUCCACCGGUAGAGAAGAGGCCCAGAGAUCUGCGCUAUUUACUGCCGGAGAGAUCACCAUACGAACCUUUAGUGGAAGACGACAUCCAACACAAACUAAAGGAGGAAAAGAAAGCAAAAAAGAAAGAAAAGUAUAAAAAAUACAGAAAGAGGAUACACUGGUGAGCAAAUGAUGUGAUGCUAAAUUUCCCCAAAUCUGUUCCGAUGAAGAAAGAAACACAUCUACAUCUCGGAUGGCCUGAGGAUAAGUAUAUUUUCAGCAAAUUAAUUGAGACAAUAUGUUGGUUGGCUAAAGUAUAUAUUUGCUUUGUGUGUGUAAACAUUUCAAAAUUCUGUUUGUCUUACAGAACGUAGGAAAGGCUCUUCGCUACAGUUGGAAAUGUCUGAUGUUGGGUCUGCAGAACUUCACUGUGGGAUAUUCCACCCCUCUUUCCGCUGCUGCCUCAAUUGUCCCAGAUUUCCAUCCGGGAGGAGCCUGGGGUUGAGACAUUCUGUGACCACCAAUUGUAAUUUACUGUAACACAAAAUCUUUAUGGACCAUUUAACGCUGCACGUCAAGAUUAUUAUUUAAAAAAUACAAGAUAUACCCUGGGCAUGCUUGAUCUGUCAUGCUGUUAACUGUUAAACUGAUAUAAAUAUUUCAGAUUUAUAUUAAAGUUUUUAACUUGCCUUUGAGUUUUACAGCUGUAAGAAAGACACGUUUCUCUUUUUAAACUGAGAUCUAUCUGUAUAUAUUUUACUUUGACUGAAAGAGAAUUUAUAUCAAUUUCUGUUUUGAAAUAAUGAAAUAUUCUUGUAUUACACAGAACUAUAAGCUAAUGACAUUAGUGUUGUAAUUAUUUUAUACAUAGGCUGGAAAGUUUGUCUAGUCCAGCAGCAAAUUGACUGAUGGUCACCUGCAUUCAUGCUCUGUAGAUGUAAUGUUUGACAAAGGUGAAAGUGAUUAAGACUCUUAACUGGAAGAGAAUGCCUUCUGAAAUGACUGUUUGAUUUGAUUUAGACCUUUUCAUGAACAAAAAAAGAGGAUUUGCUUGAUAUGAGAAAGCUGUAUGUUCUUGAGUGGGAAGUAAGAGUAAGUGUUUUCAAAUGAGCCAAGAGCAUUAAAGACAAAAGAUGGGAUUUUGAGAAAUAACAACAGGAAAAGACAUGCAGGGCAUGACUUGUUUGAUAGGGUUAGUGAAGCUGAGUAUAUGACAUGCUUGGAACUCCUGUUUAAAAGGAAUUAAGAAAUGUGAUAGAAAAAUAAAUAAUUAAUGAAAACUGGGGGACUGUUUUUGUCAAUUUAUUUAUUAAAUUAAAAGUUCUAUUUGCAUGCAUAGGCCCUAUUCACCAAACAUAAUUAGCCUAUUAAGAUGCAAUGUACAUCAGUUACAGUAUACAUAAUAUGUGCAUACAGUUUAUAAAUUAUGUAAACAUAUAUCACACCAAAAACAUGUUAACAUAUAUGACAUAUAUUGACAAUGGUUUAAAAAUGAGAACAAAUGCAGUAGAUCUCUUUUGACUUUGCUGUUGAUACAGACAUGAUGUAGCCGA
ensembl:lncRNA